rnacentral:rRNA from 1 species
AUUGAACGCUGGCGGCAUGCCUUACACAUGCAAGUCGAACGGCAGCACGGGAGCAAUCCUGGUGGCGAGUGGCGAACGGGUGAGUAAUAUAUCGGAACGUGCCCAGUCGUGGGGGAUAACGCAGCGAAAGCUGUGCUAAUACCGCAUACGAUCUAUGGAUGAAAGCGGGGGAUCGCAAGACCUCGCGCGAUUGGAGCGGCCGAUAUCAGAUUAGCUAGUCGGUGAGGUAAAGGCUCACCAAGGCGACGAUCUGUAGCUGGUCUGAGAGGACGACCAGCCACACUGGAACUGAGACACGGUCCAGACUCCUACGGGAGGCAGCAGUGGGGAAUUUUGGACAAUGGGCGAAAGCCUGAUUCAGCAAUGCCGCGUGCAGGAUGAAGGCCUUCGGGUUGUAAACUGCUUUUGUACGGAACGAAACGGUGAGCUCUAAUACAGUUUGCUAAUGACGGUACCGUAAGAAUAAGCACCGGCUAACUACGUGCCAGCAGCCGCGGUAA